UUUAAAUGCAACCAUAAAUUUUUCACCCAAUAUUAGUUUUUUUGAAUUUUUUUAUAAUUAGUAUUUUUUGCUGUUAUGAAAUAAUAAAACAUGAAUAGUACUUUAUUGAUUUAUGUUUUUAAAUUUUUUUAAAAAAAUAAAUAAGAUGGACGAUAAAAGUUAGGUGCGAAAAAUUAUGGCUACACGACGG
rnacentral:pre_miRNA from 1 species